UGUGAGAAAGCAUGUUGUUUAAGGUAUUGAGCUCUAGAGUUUUUAUUGUUGUAUGCAUUGCUCACAUGAAAACAUGAAUGAUAUUGCCUUAAUCUUGAUGAUUGAUUGAAGUGCAUGUGAAUGUCAUAUGAUCAAGGCCAUUUUUGGAGAACCCUUCUCUAGCCAAAUUUUCACCCAAAGUGCUUAAAAAUAUUAUACCCUUUUUGAACCUUAGCCUUAAACAGGAUGUGAACCCUUGUCUUGAAGUUCUUCACCUUGAGUUGGGAUGAGCUUAAUUGUAUGCGAUGAAAAGGUUCAAGUUUGGGGUUGCAUGGGGGAAAUUGAAAGGCAAGUGAAAAGCAUUGAGGUCAAAUGUUGUGAAAAGAAAAAUUCAUGAGAAAAAGAAAAGAAAAGAAGAAAAGCAUGAAGAUGAGCUCAAUGAAAAAGAAAAGGGGAAAAAGUUGGGAAUGAGUGAGAUUGGUGAGGAAGAGAGUUGUGCUUAAAUUUUGAAUAUCAUGGUAGCUCUCUUAACUCAAGGACUUUGUAUUCCAGAAAAACCCAUUUUUCUUGGUAGCCCAACCUCAUUACAAGCCUUGGAAAAGUCCUUUUGAUGGCAUGU
rnacentral:lncRNA from 1 species